UAAAGAUGCACACAUACACACACAUACAGACACAUACAUACAUACAUACUGAAUGUAUGUGUGUGUCUGUAUGUAUGUGUCUGUAUGUGUGUGUGUGUGUGUCUGUAUG